CGCGGAGAAAAAAAUCCCCAGA
rnacentral:miRNA from 1 species